rnacentral:lncRNA from 1 species
CCCGUAUCCCUGUAUCCCUGCAUCCCUGUAUCCCUGUAUCCCUGCAUCCCUGUAUCCCUGCAUCCCUGUAUCCCUGCCAUACCCCCGUAUCCCUGCCCGUAUCCUUGCCUGCAUCCCCGUAUCCCUGUACCCCUGUAUCCCUGCAUCCCUGUAUACCCAUAUCCCUGUAUCCCUGCCUGCAUCCCUGUAACCCUGUAUCCCCGUAUCUGCAUCCCUGUAUCCCUGCAUCCCUGCCUGCAUCCCUGCAUCCCUGUAUCCCCAUAUCCCUGCAUCCCUGUAUCCCUGCAUCCCUGUAUCCCCAUACCCCUGUAUCCCUGCCCAAUCCCUGUAUCCCCGUAUCCCCAUACCCCUGUAUCCCUGUAUCCUUGCAUCCCUGUAUCCCCAUAUCCCCGUAUCCCUGUAACGCUCUAUCCCUGUAUCCCUGCCUGUAUCCCUGCCAUAUCCCCAUGUCCCUGCCCGUAUCCUUGCCUGCAUCCCCGUAUCCCUGUACCCCUGUAUCCCCGUAUCCCUGCGUCCCUGCCCAUAUCCCUGCAUUCCUGUAUCCCUGCCCGUAGCCCUGCCUGCAUCCCUACAUCCCAGCAUCACUGCAUCCCUGCCCAUAUCCCUGCAUCCCUGCCUGUAUCCCUGCGUCCCUGCAGCCCUGCCUGCAUCCCUGUAGCCCUGCCCAAUCCCUCUAUCCCUGUAUCCCCACAUCCCUGUAUCCCUGCAUCCCUGUAUCCCCAUAUCCCUCUAUCCCCGUAUCCCUGUAUCCCCGUAUCCCUCUAUCCCUGUAUCCCCAUAUUCCUGUAUCCCUGUAUCCCUGCCUGCAUCCCUGCCUGUAUCCCCACAUCCCUGUAUCCCCAUAUCCCCACAUCCCUGUAUCCCCGUAUCCCUCUAUCCCCGUAUCCCUCUAUCCCUCUGUCCCUGUAUCCCUCUAUCCCUGCCCGUAUCCCUGCAUCCCUGUAUCCCUACAUCCCUCUAGCCCUAUAUCCCCGUACCCCUGGAUCCCUGUAUCCCUCUGUAUCCCUGUAUCCCCAUAUUCCUGUAUCCCUCUAUCCCUGCCUGCAUCCCUGUAUCCCUGCCUGUAUCCCCACAUCCCUGUAUCCCCAUAUCCCCACAUCCCUGUAUCCCUCUAUCCCUGUAUCCCUGCAUCCCCGCAUCCCUGCCCGUAUCCCUGCAUCCCUGUAUCCCUACAUCCCUCUAGCCCUAUAUCCCUGUACCCCUGGAUCCCUGCAUCCCUGUAUCCCUCUGUAUCCCUGUAUCCCCAUAUUCCUGUAUCCCCGUAUCCCUGCCUGUAUCCCCACAUCCCCGUACCCC